UAUAUAUAUACACACACACACACAUACACACAUAUGUAUGUAUGUAUAUAUGUAUACCCACAUACAUAACUUGUGAAAUUAAGUUUGAAUCCCAUUAUGACAAUGUGAAAUGACAAUUCUAUUACAAAGUCUAUACAUACACUUAUUUAUUGUCCAGAGAACUAAAAGUGUUGGAAUUUCAAAUCCAAGGCAGAAAAGUUAUUUAACUCUGAUCUUCUGUGGCAAUACUUAAUUUUAGCAUGGUAAAAUCACAGGAUCACAAAUUUAGGACUAGAAUUGGCCUUAGAUAAGUCAUCUAGUUCAAUCCCUUAUUUUACAGUGGAAAACACUGAGGCUAAGGAGCUAAAUGGCCUGUUCACAGAUGUACAGAAAAUAACAAAAUGGUUGAGCACACAUCUUCCUACUUACUCAGAUCCAAUAUUCUUUGUACCAUAUUGCCUUACCUCUAAUCCAACCUCCUUAAGAGUCAUUGACUCUCUAAAUGACUUGACCAGUAAAGGGAUCAGAAUGAUUUUUAUAUGUAAAUUAUAAAUGUAAGUCAUAUGCCACUUCUAAGUUACAAUUGCUCAGUUACUGGCUCUGGCUGCAUCAAAUGUGUUCCUUAAUCCUUUCAGUCCUGUCUGACCCUUCUUGACCUCAUUUGGGAUUUUCUUGGUAAAGAUAUUAAAGCUGUUCACCAUUUUCUUUUUCAGUUCAUUUUGUAGAUCAGGCAACUGAGGCAAUCAAGGCUAAGUUAAUUUCCCAGGAUCACACAGCUAAUUUUAAGUGCAAUAUGAACUCAGGAAAUGAUUUUUCUGAGUUCAGACCUGAUGCUCUCUCCAUUGUACCACACAGUUACUCCUGCAUCAAGUUAAGUUAAUCCAAUAGACAUUUGUUAGUAGCAUCCUUCUUUUUCUCUUUGCAGGCUUUAAUAACCCAACCUUCCCUAUACAUUGAGAAAUUCAUUACAUUCAGAGGGAAAAUUUAGAAAGGCAAGAAGGCCCAUGUUGAAAACACUUGCAUCAAGUACAUAAAAGGACAAGGGUUCUGUAAAUGCUGCUCAUGAAAUUAUGCACAGAAAGGAUAGGUAAGUUUUGUAUAAUAAUUCUAUAUAUAUAUAUAUAUGUGAAGAAACUUGAAUUCUAAAUCUUAUGCUGAUUUGCAUUCCAAAAUAGUACAUAUUGAAGAUUUUUAUAUACUUCAACUGUGUGUGUGUUAUGUGUGUAAAGCCUUUAUCUUCUUAACUAUAGGCGAGAGCCCAAGUUUUCUUAGUUUCCAUGGCCAAAUCAUUGGUAAAAGAUAAGAAAACAUUUUUCUCUGGCAGCUACAUGCAAAAAAAGAGAUGGUGACAGCAUAUGAUAAAGAGGCUACCAAAUUCUAUUUUUUCUAUAUAUUUUGCUGUUGUAGGAAUAGAAAUUUUAAAUGGCAUUUCCAAACAAAGUGAAGAAGCAACACAAUAAAAGAUUAUUCACAAUCAAAUAUGUAGAUUUAGGGUUGUACACUAAAGAAAAAUAUGAAUUUAAUUUCAGGGACUUUCAAUUAAAAUUCUUCUUUUCCCUUUUGGUACAGGUCUGAAAUCUAGGAUAUUGUUUUUUGUUUGUUUGUUUGUUUGUUUGUUUUUAUGAUUUAACUAGUGGAUUAACAUCUGAUAAAUGGCCAAGGGAAGUAAAAUAUUGAACUAAAUAUAAGAAGAACAUAUAAUUUAUUAAUGUAGUAGUCAGAAUAGUUCCCUACUAUUUUAAAGUGCAAAAGAAUCAAUGCAUAAAGAUAAUAUCCAAAGAAUGAAGGAAAAUAACAACCAUAAGAAAUACUAUAUUUAGGAAAGACUUACAUGUACUAGUGCUGAAUGAAGUUAAUAAAGCCAAGAAAACAACAUAUACAAUGAUUAUAACAACAUAACAAUCAUAAAACAAUUAAAAGGCAAUCUUGCAAAAUCAUGAAAAAUAAACCUGACUUCAUAGAAAAGAAAUGAGAAAAUAUAGGUGAUCCAUGGUUAUGGAACAUUGCAUAUAUUUUCACACACAUAUAUAUAAUUUAAAUUUAAUAAUAUAUUUUGCCAAUUUUUUUUCUCAUUCUUACUUUUUAUUCCUUAUUGUGGGAAAUGUCUCUCUGAAAAGUGGGAAGAGGGAGGAAUAUACAGGAAAAUUUAGAUGAUGUAGAAAAAAAGUUAUUAAUAAAAUAUAUUUUCAAAAGAAAAAUAAAUAAAUACCUUACUUUACUAUUUUAGCUCUUCUUAGCACUAAGGGAUAUUUGGUAAAAAGAAAAAGUUAUCCUCUCUGAUAUUAAUCUCAAAAGGUCAAGUUGGGAUAAUAAAGACUAUCUAUGUCUGUGAAGAAAUAAAAUGAUUGAUUUCAGAAAUUAUUGUGAUUCAAUCAUUAAAGCAAAAAUUUAGAACCUACCCUAUACCUCUUGAUUUAUGUAAUUAUAGGAAUUAAAAUUGGAAAGGACCUUAGUGAUUACCUAGUCCUCUCAUUUUAGAGAAAAGGGAAUUGAAACCUGGAGAAAAUAAGCAACCUGUCUUAAGUUAUAUAAGUAAUAAGUAUCAGGGAUGGGAUUUAGCAGCCAAUUAUUUUGAUUCCAAAUCCAAGGUUCUUUCCACUGUGCCACAAACUUCACUUGUAGUAGCUUACCUUAUUCUUCUUGCCUUAUUCUUUCCAACUACAUGGUGUUUCACCCAUGGAAAUUCUACCCACUUACUCUGACAUACAUCAUCAGUUAUGUUGGGAGGUCAAGAGCUAGGUUACUUGCUCUCUCAUCUAAGUAGUAAUAAAACAAUCGUAAUGACAGGAUUAAUUCCUGGGGAAGGCUGACCUCUAAUUAUGGGGUGUAUGUUCUCCAGUUUCAGACUCAUUGGCUUGAUAACAACCCCUCACAGAUGAUGGUAAAUGCAAUUUGAGAUAUGGCUCCUGUCUGAGUCUUCCCAAGAAGAAAGCAAAAGAGGUAUUCAAUGUACAAAAUGAAUCAGGAGACAUGAAGAACUCUCUUAAUAAGCACAGUGGAACUGUAGGACUCACUGAAGGGUAAGCCACUCCCUAAAGUUUUUAAAAGGUAUAAACAAGUUCCAAGGAGUCAUCCCCAACAGUCGAAAGGAGGGCCAGCUAUAAGCAAAGAACUCAAAAAUUGGGGUAAUCUUCUCCCCUUUACCCUUCUCCUCCAUUUUGUAUCUCACCCACCCAUAUAUUGGCAAUGACAACUUGCUAUAGAGCAACUUGUUUCAUAUGAAAAGCAAGUCCUAUUGAAGAGCAGGUCCAAGACAGCCCAGCUGUGGAGUCAAACUGAGGGUCUAAGAGGAAUAGGUCGGGGAAGUUCUACAAAGUAACCUUCCUGUGGUAAAGCAGUGUCAAGUGGAAGCAACAGAAGGAUAUCAAAAGAUACCAAACAGAUUCAUGCAGUGCUACUUUGACCGCCUUCAGCUACAUGGGUUUCCUAGGUGUGUGUCUCCAUCAAUAUAUGCCAAUUCUUUCUGCUGUUACAUUCAUUCGUGGAAGAAUGCUGCCCAAGGUUGUGGUGAGAUUUUGUAACCAUUGUUCAUACUACGUUUUUCAAAAAGAGUUUUUACUUUUAGCUAAUGCCAACUGGUUGAAUAUUAAGACACUAGUGAGAUCUCAUGAGCUGGAGUUAAUUAUCAAUCACAAAGAACCCUGAAUGCAGGAUAGGUGUGCUCUGAGGGCCCAACAAACCAAUUGCAAUUUAAAGGGCAGCUCAGAGGAGGAUUUACAAAACGUAAUUUAGCGGGGAUCACUAGUAGUUAGGGGGAUUAGAAAAGGCUUCCUGUAGUAGGUGGCACUUUAAAUGAUCCUUGAAAGAGACAAAGAAUUCUAAGAAGCAGAGGCAAAGAAAAAAACCAUUCUAGUCACAGGGACAUUCAGUGCAAAGGCUUGGAGAAGAAAUGGAGGUGGUAUGUGAGGAUGAGAGGAAGUAAACAAAACUACUAUGUGCCUGACAUUGACAAAAAGAUCUUGCAGGCAGGUGCUAACAUUAUCCUCAUUUUAUGGUUGGAGAAACAGAGGCAAAAGUCAAGUCUCAAGUUACUUGCCCAGAUUUAUAAGUGUCUGAAUUCCAGGUAUCUAGGGAAAGGAAAAAGAAAAAGGCCAGUUUGGUUGGGAUAGAAAGUAUGCAAAAAAGAAUAAUAUGAAUUAAGUUAAAGAAGUAGGCUGAAAAGAAUUGGAAAAUGAGUAGAUGCCCAUAAGUUGGGGAAUGGCUGAAUAAAUUGUGGUACAUGAAGGUAAUGGAAUAUUAUUGUUCUAUAAAAAAUGGUGAACAAGCUGAUUUUGGAAGGGCCUGAAAAGAUUUACACAAACUGAUGCUAAGUGAAACAAGCAGAAUCAGGAACACAUACAGCAAGAAUGUGCCAUGAUCAACUAUGAAAGCCUUCGUUCUUUUCAGUGUUCAGUUUUCCAAAGUGAUCCCAACAGACUUUGGAAAGAAAAUUCCACCUGCAUCCAGAAAAAGAACUAUGGAGAUUGAAUGUAAAUCAACACCUGCUAUGUUUCACUUCUUUAUUCUGUUUUUUUCCCUCUCCCAUGGUUUUUCCUUUUUGCUCUGAUUUUUCUCUCCCAACAUAAUUCAUAAAGCAAUGUGUAUUAAAAAUAAAUAAAUUGAUGAGUGCAAAAAAAAA